UACACUCCUGCGGGAGGCAGCAGUGGGGAAUAUUGCACAAUGGGCGCAAGCCUGAUGCAGCCAUGCCGCGUGUAUGAAGAAGGCCUUCGGGUUGUAAAGUACUUUCAGCGGGGAGGAAGGCGAUAAGGUUAAUAACCUUGUCGAUUGACGUUACCCGCAGAAGAAGCACCGGCUAACUCCGUGCCAGCAGCCGCGGUAAUACGGAGGGUGCAAGCGUUAAUCGGAAUUACUGGGCGUAAAGCGCACGCAGGCGGUCUGUCAAGUCGGAUGUGAAAUCCCCGGGCUCAACCUGGGAACUGCAUUCGAAACUGGCAGGCUAGAGUCUUGUAGAGGGGGGUAGAAUUCCAGGUGUAGCGGUGAAAUGCGUAGAGAUCUGGAGGAAUACCGGUGGCGAAGGCGGCCCCCUGGACAAAGACUGACGCUCAGGUGCGAAAGCGUGGGGAGCAAACAGGAUUAGAAACCCCUGUAGUCCCAUGAU
rnacentral:rRNA from 1 species